UUUUCGAAUGUAUCCUGCUCUGUCGCUGUCAGUGUUUUUCACUGCGUGAGAACAUGAUGUGUGGUAUGAGAGCACCAUGGCUUGACGGACGUAGCAACAGUAACUAAGGGGGGGGGGGUCUUUGUGAAGGAUCAGUUUCAUUGUAAUAUGCUUGAACUGCUCUGUCGUGCCGAUAAUGUAGUAAGUAUGGAGGGAAGAGAUGUUGAAUAUUUGAUCGCCAACAAAUUUACAAAGCUCCCUUUUGAGCAGCAGAUAAAAAUAAAAACUGAAGGACGACCCACGCCGAAGCUGGAAAUAAAACAGUCUUAAUUGUUGACGGCUGAACGCGCUGUUUUAGAACAGAAUUAUUAUUAUUUUGCAAAGCGUUAGCCAGUGGCUAAUGUUAAUAGAUGAUAAAUACGCCUUGAAGAAUCGAAGGAGAUGGGUGUAUUCUACCACAGAGUCAUAGACACCUUCGCUGCUAAAAAGGACAGGAGGAUGGAUUCAUUCUUCAAGUAACAGCUGUUUGGACUCUCAUUCUGACGGCACCCAUUCACUGCAGAGCAUCCAUUGCUGAGACACUGAUGCAGUGCUACAUUUCUACAAACCUGAUGAAGAAACACACUCAACUACAUCUGGGAUGAUCUGAGAGUGAGCACAUUUCCAGCUAAUGCUCAUUUUUGGGCGAACUAUUCCUUUAAAGUGCAUGAAGUAAGAGUCUGGUUACCUAACCACCAUCACUUUACAAACAUGACAUUCUCUUAGCAGCAGGAAAUCUCUUCUCAGCUCUUCUAAAUUCCUGUGGCAUGUCUGUCUAGUUUUUCUCAUAUGGGUUUUGGGAUGGUCCGGGCCAUUACUGAGUGCUCCUUGUGAGUGUUUCCAUGUUUAAUUAUUCUUGCACAACAUUUGAUGAGUCUUAGAUCAUUAUCUUGAUGAAUGUUACAUCAGGACUAGAAAAGGUAUUUGUGCAUACCAUGAACUUCUGCUGAUCAGAAAUGAUCACUGUUGUUUUCCCCUUAACUUGAAAUAUUUAGCUUGAAGAGGCCAAGUGUACUCUUUUAAAAAUAAAGGUUGCUUCAGUGUUGAUGGCUCCAUGAAGAUCCAGCAGCAUCAGUGGAACCGUUCCAUUCCACCAAAGCUUCUUUAGAUUAUAAACUGUUUACUGAAAGGUUUGUUGGGGAACCCACACUGGUUUUUGGAAACCCGC
ensembl:lncRNA